ensembl:miRNA mir-798 ncRNA
UACUGUUUCAUGUAGGUGUUAAAGUUUGUACAAGAAGUUAGUUUUCUGUUAAGCCUUACAUAUUGACUGAGCAGUA